rnacentral:rRNA from 1 species
CCUACGGGCGGCAGCAGUGAGGAAUAUUGGUCAAUGGGCGGAAGCCUGAACCAGCCAAGUCGCGUGAGGGAAUAAGGCCCUACGGGUCGUAAACCUCUUUUGCCGGGGAGCAAGGGCGGGGACGUGUCCCGGCCCGGAGAGUACCCGGAGAAAAAGCAUCGGCUAACUCCGUGCCAGCAGCCGCGGUAAUACGGAGGAUGCGAGCGUUAUCCGGAUUUAUUGGGUUUAAAGGGUGCGUAGGCGGCGCUUCAGGUCAGCGGUGAAAUACCGGGGCUCAACCCCGGGGCUGCCGUUGAAACCGGAGCGCUAGAAUUCCGAUGCCGUCGGAGGAAUGCGUGGUGUAGCGGUGAAAUGCAUAGAUAUCACGCAGAACUCCGAUUGCGAAGGCAGCAUACCGGCGCUCAACUGACGCUCAUGCACGAAAGUGUGGGUAUCGA